CUAAUCUUAUCUAGCCCUAGUCUAUUUAAUUCUAUUCUACUCUCCUUUACACAGAAUGUAUUUACAGGCUGACAGACUGACAGUAGUAGUGGUCUCAGGUGACAGACUGACAGUAGUAGUGGUCUCAGGUGACAGACUGACAGUAGUAGUGGUCUCAGGUGACAGACUGACAGUAGUAGUGGUCUCAGGUGACAGACUGACAGUAGUAGUGGUCUCAGGUGACAGACUGACAGUAGUAGUGGUCUCAGGUGACAGUGCUUGGUAAAGGAACUGGAAAGAAAUAUAGUUGUUUUAAUACUGUCUAAUAUUUUGACUUGAGAUAGAUGCACUCUGACCCAUAUUCACAAAGCUUCUCAGAGUAGGAGUCCUGAUCUAGAAUCAGGUGUCCCCGUCCAUAUCAUAUUAUGAUCUAAAAGGUAAAACUGAUAUAAAAUGAAAAAGUGAUCCUAGAUCAGCACUCAUAUAUUCUGGUACACUUUGUACAUAUGCACCACUAAACACAAAUCAAUGUAUUGGAAGCAAUGGAGGGGUUUAAUCAGAGGAUAGAGUUGCAUAUCAGCUUUCUAUUGUGUUGGCGGAACUGAUAUUGUUAUUACGAAGUUAUACGUCCAAGGGAUUGUGUUAUUGAGACGUCAUCCUCAUUAAUACUGAUAUUGUUAUUAUGAAGCUGUACAGUGUACAGUGUAUUCAGACCCCUUGACUUUUUUGUUAAGUUACAGCCUUAUUCUAAAAUUGAUUACAUUGUUUUUUUCCCUCGUCAAUAUACACACAAUACCCAAUAAUGACAAAGCAAAAACAGGUUUUUAUACAUCUUUGCUAAUUUAUAAAAAAUAAAAAACUGAAAUAUCACAUUUACUUAAGUAUUCAGACCCUUUACUCAGUACUUUGUUGGUUAAGGGCUUGUAUUCGGCGCAUGUGACUAAUAAGAUUUGAUUUGAAGCUAUACGUCCCAUGGAUCGUGUUAUUGAGACGUGUGGAGCUAUACGUCCCAUGGAUCGUGUUAUUGAGACGUGUGGAGCUAUACAUCCCAUGGAUCGUGUUAUUGAGACGUGUGGAGCUAUACGUCCCGUGGAUCGUGUUAUUGAGACGUGUGAAGCUAUACGUCCCAUGGAUCGUGUUAUUGAGACUUGGGA
rnacentral:lncRNA from 1 species